rnacentral:rRNA from 1 species
CCUUACCUGGCCUUGACAUACUAAGAACUUUCCAGAGAUGGAUUGGUGCCUUCGGGAACUUAGAUACAGGUGCUGCAUGGCUGUCGUCAGCUCGUGUCGUGAGAUGUUGGGUUAAGUCCCGCAACGAGCGCAACCCUUUUCCUUAUUUGCCAGCGGGUAAUGCCGGGAACUUUAAGGAUACUGCCAGUGACAAACUGGAGGAAGGCGGGGACGACGUCAAGUCAUCAUGGCCCUUACGGCCAGGGCUACACACGUGCUACAAUGGUCGGUACAAAGGGUUGCUACCUCGCGAGAGGAUGCUAAUCUCAAAAAGCCGAUCGUAGUCCGGAUCGCAGUCUGCAACUCGACUGCGUGAAGUCGGAAUCGCUAGUAAUCGCGGAUCAGAAUGCCGCGGUGAAUACGUUCCCGGGCCUUGUACACACCGCCCGUCACACCAUGGGAGUUUGUUGCACCAGAAGUAGGUAGUCUAACCGCAAGGAGGACGCUUACCACGGUGUGGCCGAUGACUGGGGUGAAGUCGUAACAAGGUAGGCGUACUACA